GACGAACGCUGGCGGCGUGCCUAAUACAUGCAAGUUGAGCGCUGAAGGUUGGUACUUGUACCGACUGGAUGAGCAGCGAACGGGUGAGUAACGCGUGGGGAAUCUGCCUUUGAGCGGGGGACAACGUUUGGAAACGAAUGCUAAUACCGCAUAAAAACUUUAAACACAAGUUUUAAGUUUGAAAGAUGCAAUUGCAUCACUCAAAGAUGAUCCCGCGUUGUAUUAGCUAGUUGGUGAGGUAAAGGCUCACCAAGGCGAUGAUACAUAGCCGACCUGAGAGGGUGAUCGGCCACAUUGGGACUGAGACACGGCCCAAACUCCUACGGGAGGCAGCAGUAGGGAAUCUUCGGCAAUGGACGCAAGUCUGACCGAGCAACGCCGCGUGAGUGAAGAAGGUUUUCGGAUCGUAAAACUCUGUUGGUAGAGAAGAACGUUGGUGAGAGUGGAAAGCUCAUCAAGUGACGGUAACUACCCAGAAAGGGACGGCUAACUACGUG
rnacentral:rRNA from 1 species